rnacentral:tRNA from 1 species
GGAACUGCACGUCAGAACGGGUGUCUCAGCUACGUUCGCAUCGUAGAAGUCGCCGGUUCAAAUCCGGUCACCUCCA